UGGGGAAUAUUGCACAAUGGGGGAAACCCUGAUGCAGCAACGCCGCGUGAGUGAUGACGGCCUUCGGGUUGUAAAGCUCUGUCUUCAGGGACGAUAAUGACGGUACCUGAGGAGGAAGCCACGGCUAACUACGUGCCAGCAGCCGCGGUAAUACGUAGGUGGCAAGCGUUGUCCGGAUUUACUGGGCGUAAAGGGAGCGUAGGCGGACUUUUAAGUGAGAUGUGAAAUACCCGGGCUCAACCUGGGUGCUGCAUUUCAAACUGGAAGUCUAGAGUGCAGGAGAGGAGAGUGGAAUUCCUAGUGUAGCGGUGAAAUGCGUAGAGAUUAGGAAGAACACCAGUUGCGAAGGCGGUCUCUUGGUCCGACACUGACGCUGAGGCGCGAAAGCGUGGGGAGCAAACA
rnacentral:rRNA from 1 species